UACAGAGGUCCCAAGCGUUGUUCGGAUUCACUGGGCGUAAAGGGUGCGUAGGUGGUUGAAUAAGUUUGAUGUGAAAUCUCCGAGCUUAACUCGGAAACUGCAUUGAAUACUGUUUGACUAGAGGAUUGGAGGGGGGACUGGAAUUCUCGGUGUAGCAGUGAAAUGCGUAGAUAUCGAGAGGAACACCAGUGGCGAAGGCGAGUCCCUGGACAGCUCCUGACGCUGAGGCACGAAAGCUAGGGGAGCAAACAGG
rnacentral:rRNA from 1 species